GGGUCUGUCCAUUGGUCGGGCGUUACGGUCCGUACUGGUGAGAUGGGUUCCUACCUUCUGAAUAACCGGCAUGCCAUUCAGUUGGUGCGCCGGGGAAGCAGAGCUAUUACCUUGAAAAAAUUAGAGUGCUUAAAGCAGGCUAUUGCUUGAAUAGAUUAGCAUGGAAUAAUAAAAUAGGACGGCAUGGUUCUAUUUUGUUGGUUUCUAGGAUCACCGUA
rnacentral:rRNA from 1 species